GACAGAGGUGGCAAGCGUUGUUCGGAAUUACUGGGCUUAAAGGGCGCGUAGGCGGUGGAGUAAGUCCGGGGUGGAAGGCUGAGGCUUAACCUCAGGAUUGCCCUGGAAACUGCAUCACUUGAGUCAGCAAGGGGAUGGCGGAAUUCCUGGUGUAGCGGUGAAAUGCGUAGAUAUCAGGAGGAAGGCCGGUGGCGAAGGCGGCCAUCUGGUGCUGAACUGACGCUGAGGCGCGAAAGCGUGGGGAGCAAAC
rnacentral:rRNA from 1 species